UCUCGAUUGGUCUAGUGGUAAGGAUACCUGCUUGUCAUUGCCUUCAUAUAACCGGAGUACCAAAUCGCAGGUGGCCGGGGUUCGAUUCCCCGAUCGAGAG